rnacentral:rRNA from 1 species
GAGUUUGAUCAUGGCUCAGGAUGAACGCUAGCGGCAGGCUUAACACAUGCAAGUCGAGGGGUAUUCUAGCAAUAGGAGAGACCGGCGCACGGGUGCGUAACGCGUAUGCAAUCUACCUUUCACAGAGGGAUAGCCCAGAGAAAUUUGGAUUAAUACCUCAUAGUAUAAUGACUCGGCAUCGAGAUAUUAUUAAAGUCACAACGGUGAAAGAUGAGCAUGCGUCCCAUUAGCUAGUUGGUAAGGUAACGGCUUACCAAGGCGACGAUGGGUAGGGGUCCUGAGAGGGAGAUCCCCCACACUGGUACUGAGACACGGACCAGACUCCUACGGGAGGCAGCAGUGAGGAAUAUUGGACAAUGGGCGCAAGCCUGAUCCAGCCAUGCCGCGUGCAGGAUGACGGUCCUAUGGAUUGUAAACUGCUUUUGCACAGGAAGAAACACCCCCUCGUGAGGGGGCUUGACGGUACUGUGAGAAUAAGGAUCGGCUAACUCCGUGC